rnacentral:miRNA from 1 species
CGCGGAGAAGCUGGAGUUGCGGCAGCGCAGGCCUGGGUCGCCGCCUGCUUCCGUUUUCCUCAG